ensembl:lncRNA
ACAUAAGUAGGCCACAUGUUUGCUUUGCUUCAAGUGUAAUAAACAUUACGCUCCGUCCUUUGCUUUUGGUGCUGGUUCCUGUCAGAGCGUUAGUCCCUAUAGCUAAUUUCUCACACCUGUCUCCCAGGCUCCUGGGAGCUGGGCUGAGCACGGGGAGGAAACGCCAGGCUGCAGGAAACUUGUGGCGUGGAGAGAUAAAUUGCUGAUCAAAGGGCUAGCACACGGUGCCUCUGAAUAUUUAGUUGCAGGCGAGGCAGCCAAACCCACUCAGGAAAGAGCUUUGUUCUUGAAGAGCUGUUUGCCUGGCUGUGCUCUGCAGCAGCGAGCAGCUGGGGUGUGAUGGGGCGGUGGGAUCAGCACUCCCUUGGAGCCAUGCAAAGAAAUGGGUAUCGGGGUGUGACAGCAGUAAGGGCUGUACUCGGCUGUUGAUAGGGAAGAGGUGGGAAGGGUUCCAGAAGGUAGGGUGGGAUAUUCCUCCAUCUAGAUGGUAAGAGUGCUCAGGCUGAGGCAGCAAGUUCUGAUGAAGAGACAAGCACAAAAUUUUGCUGGGUGCAUGACCUUCCUGCUUGCCCUGGUCUUUCUAGACCUUCCCCAGACCUUCGUCUCCAUUCCACACCCAGCAAAAAGCCAUCACCAUUGCUUACUCACACCAGUUUGCUCAGCGCCCUGACCUUGCUCUGGUGCUCUGUCGGUUCAUUGGGUGAGGAAGCACAGAGAUGCUUUGCUUGUUGAGAUGCUUUUGAGAGGGGGUAAACAAAUUGCCCCCUGCCUGCAGGUGCCAGUGAGCGUUCACCGGUGCUCCCAAGACGUAGAGCUCAGUCUGGGUCUGGAUCCGGAGCAGUGGAGAUGGAGAGCUAAAGCGCUACAGCAAGAGGAUGCACAAAGCUCUUGAGACUCGAUGCCGCUGGCUGGAGGCGUUGCUGUAUGGCCCAGGGCACAGCAGCGGUGCCCCCGGGUGCCUGCUGCUCACCCUGUCCCCAGCGGUCGGCUCCUGGCAGCUGCAGACUCUCUGUAGCUCGUGUCUCUGCGGAGCUGCUUUCUGCACAGCAGGGGGAUGGAACUAGGUGAUCCUGAAGGUCCCUUCCAACCCGAGCCGUGCUGUGAUUCUAUGGUCUCACAAACAGGAGCUUUCAGAGUACGUUGCUGCAAGAGCAGCUCUGGGCUCCUUGAAUGUGUCCCUGGGAAGAGCUGCUCUGCACCUUGGUUUGGGGACCCCUAUCACCUCUGCAAAGGCUGUGCCAGGGUUCUGGCAGUGGGGAGGGAGAGGGCAGUCUCCUAUGGAGCAGGACGGCUUUUCAGCCUAUCUUUGCCCAGCUCUGCUCCCUCUCUACCUAUCUCCAGCUAUUUCCUUACCACAACAACAUCACAGAGGGAACACAAGGGGCUGCAAGGAGUUGGAAGAGUUGUCAGAACUGAGCAUCCAGGCCCACCAAGCCCAGGACCUUCCUCAGCCCCAGGUUCCCUCAUCUUUGUACUACUCGCUCAUGCUCAGAGAGCUGCCGGCGCGCUGCUUGCACCCAGCAUCCCCAUCCUGGCCUGGCUCCUGUCCUGAAUAUAUUUUUAUAUGUUAUGACUCAGAGGUUUUUAAAUUUAAUGGGUUCUUUUUUUCUUGCUUGCUUCUUAGCACCUGAACUGGAUCCUCUCUGAGCUGCUGCCAGCUCCAAGGGAUUACAAGUGAAUAAUUCAGGUUCGAUGCCGUUUGAAGUUUCAGGGAAGGAAGUGGCAUGUGAAGCCUGCUCCCCACACCUGUCCCAGGGCCACGCUGCUCCAAAGGCAAUCUGAAGAACACCCUGAGGAGCCACACUCUGAACAUUUCUGUGUGGAUGUUGCCUUCCGAGCUCCUGGCAGCCUCGACUGAGGCUGUUUGUACAGGCUGCAGCUCUGCACAGGGGCAGCUCCCCAGCACCAGAGGAUUGCUGCAAGGCUUGAGAGUGCCGUGGAAUGAAGCGCAGCAUCCUGCUUGCCAGCCCAGGUCCAGGAGGGGUUAAAUGCCGGACUGCUGUGUCUGUUCCAGCUGCAGUGAAGCAUAGAGAAGGCAAUGGACAAACAUGACCUGCUGUAAACGAAUUUACAACUGAACAAGCCAAUCAGUCUGUGACAUGAUUGAAGACCUGCAGUAAAGCCAUGGAGCUGACAGAAUUGGGAUUCUGUAUGUGGUAUGAAAGGAAAGGCAAGCAUCCAAUGAACGAGAGCCAGGAGCUGCCACAGCAGAAGUCUGGAUGAGAGGACUGUGCUUUGGAGAGGAGAAAUCAACUCUGGCAGGAGAUAUGGAGCACCUACGGAAAGCAGGAGUAUUUCCCAGGAAAAUCCCAAGUCAAAGCAAACGUGGCCCCAAAGUACAUCCUGACAAAUGUGACUCAGUGUGUCCUUCAAGGCUGCGUCUCCUGGAGGACUCUGUGGGUAAAAGUAUACCGUGGGCUUUAUGUUGAGAAGUGGUGUAUGAAAUGCGGAGGUGAGGUUGGCUUCAGAGGGCAGGGGGGGUUGGCAGGGUGGUAGCCCUGGAAAAAGGAAAGGAAGGAAUACACAACAGCUGAACUUCGUUCCGUGGGCACAGGGCACGGUAGGCUACAUUUCAGUCUGUUCUAAAAGCACCUACACUGGUAGGUCCUACACUUGGGAAGUAAGAGGGAAGACACAGUUUUGCUGUUUGGAAAUAGUAAUGUUUGUUAUAAGGUUAGGAUUAUUCCCUGGAUCCCGGUAACCGAGUGAGCUCGGCGUGCUCACUUGUGCUGUGCCUUUGGGGAGGCUUGGGUUCCUGCAGCUGCACGCGCUUAUCAGGAAGUGAUACACAGGGAAACCUGUUAGCAGCCACAGAAGAACAACGCACGGCACGAGGAAAGUGUAUCUCAAAGGGAACUCUCUGAGCGGGGCUGUAGGAAUUCACCAGGCAUGCACAGACGUCUGUUAAAAGGCGGUGGAUCGGAUGGUGACGGCUGGACAGGGUUUGCAUAGAGGGGAUUGGGUGUUGGGAAGGAUGGGCUCUCAUGCUGUACCUGCAGAUGCAGGCUCUGGACAGGGGCUCCUUCACCAGCAGUGCUGGGGCUUUGCUGCUCCCUCCCAGCCACGUUCUUUUUGAGGUUGAUGAGCUCGGCCAUUACGGCUCCAGCCUACUUCAAAAGUGGUCACAUUGCCAUGCCUUGCUGGGAUGUGAGUCCAAAGACCGUCCAAGUACCAGAAAUAAACGACUGCUAUUUUCCAACUUACCUGCUCUCCACAGCUUUCUGCAGCAAAAUUGAGGCUUUCACUGCAUGUGAGUCCACCACAGCUCUCCUGUCUUUAUGGGAAGAUUACAGUUGCUCUGAGCCCUGUUUCUCACCUCUCUCGGAUGGUGUAAGGGCACGGAAAAGCACGUCUGAGUACGUGUGCAUGCAUGUGUAUUUACGAGGGAGAGAAUCACGAGAGGAGGCUGUGUCAUGCUCCUCCUUCCAGUUAGCCCUGUUCUAAGCUUUCAGUCUAGCUGCGAUCCUUGCAUGUAGCCCAGACCUCUGCCUUUCCUGCGUUUUCUUUGCACGAUGAGUUAUACAUCAGGGGGAUGGCUUCUGUCUCACUCUGCCUAAGUGGUGAGCCGUGCAUCCAGCUGUAGGUCUCGGAGUAAACACCGCUUGGAACAGAGCGUCUGUGCUGACUGCAGGAGGGCGCUGUGUGAGCGCAUCCCAUAGCAGUGGGUCACCCUCUCCCUAUCACCUCUCUGCCGCCUGCCCACCAGCAGCUCCAAACUCUUGCUGUCGGGCUUUCUUCAAGCCACAGUCUGGGACUGGACCGGCAGGGCAAGCGCUGAGUCACUGCUACAAAUGACUGCCCCAACCAUUAAUUUUUGUAGUCUGAGUGGCAGCAUUUCAUGCUGGGCACAACCAGCGGCAGAGAUGAAAGCUUGAAGCCAAAUAGGCAUCGCAGAGCCAGCGCAAGUGCUAUUUAUUAAAAAAAUGCCUGGAUUGCAGAGGAAGCAGAGGGGUGCACCUUGAAAGGAACCUUUAACACCUGUGAGCGAAGAGCAGCAAAGGGCUGCGGAGCGCAGGGAGCUGCCAGAGGCAGCCGCUAAUGGCCCUGGUCCUGGGGUGAGCUGGCAACGGGGAGCGCGUGGCCGGGAGCCAAGGGGUACUUUGUGCUGCUUCCUCUGUAGCCGUAGAAGCAAAGCGAAUGAGGGCUGUCGUACCGCUGGCCAGAGGUGCUGGCCAAACCGAGCUGAGAGGCGACGAAGGGUGGGUGGGGAAGGAGAUAUCCCUGGGCUCCUGCAGGGAUCUGCUGCCCUUCGCUGCCUGCAGGGAGUGCCACGUGUGUGUGCCCGUCCCCAGCCUCCGAGUUGCUCCGUGCGGCAGAAUCUGCUGCAUUAGGUCGAUUUCAAGAGCCCCUCAGGUCAGUUAGCAAUUACCUGCACCAGAUACGCGCUUGGAAAGGAGCUUCUGAUCUCUUCAAUGCACUCGUUUUCCUCUCUCGAUUUCAAAUUCCCCUUGCUGGAAAUAGGCACUUCAGCCUCUUUUACAGACCGUAGUAAAUUAAGAUUUUGUCCAGUUCUGUUGGUUUUGCUGAUGGAGAUGUUUUUCCCUACAGAGGCGAAGCCAUGGCCAAUCUGAGGUGCGCUCAGACCCCUCCAUGCCAACUCUUCCAGGUGACGUCAUGGUGUGCACAGCACUUCUGCAUGCAUUGCUGGCCCCGCUGUGGGCUGAGGAGCCUCUCCUGAGAUUGUCACCGUGGUGCCAAAGCUCUGGUUAUGAAUUCAGGCUCCGGGGAGGGGGGAGGGGGGUCAGCCCAUUUGCUUUGGGCUCUUUGCUGGGCUCCUGCUGUCUGAUGGGAAGUUGCACGGCUCCCUAUCCCAAACUAGCAGUUCAGUGCUCAG